rnacentral:rRNA from 1 species
UGGGGAAUUUUGGACAAUGGGCGCAAGCCUGAUCCAGCAAUGCCGCGUGCAGGAUGAAGGCCUUCGGGUUGUAAACUGCUUUUGUACGGAACGAAACGGCGAGCUCUAAUACAGUUUGCUAAUGACGGUACCGUAAGAAUAAGCACCGGCUAACUACGUGCCAGCAGCCGCGGUAAUACGUAGGGUGCAAGCGUUAAUCGGAAUUACUGGGCGUAAAGCGUGCGCAGGCGGUCAUGUAAGACAGAUGUGAAAUCCCCGGGCUUAACCUGGGAACUGCAUUUGUGACUGCAUAGCUAGAGUACGGUAGAGGGGGAUGGAAUUCCGCGUGUAGCAGUGAAAUGCGUAGAUAUGCGGAGGAACACCGAUGGCGAAGGCAAUCCCCUGGACCUGUACUGACGCUCAUGCACGAAAGCGUGGGGAGCAAACA